UAAAACAUUGUGAAUUAAUUUAUUCAUGUCUAACUUCAAUGUUCCUCUGUUUGCUUUCAGUACAAACAUCACGACCAACAACACCACCACCAGCACCAACACCAACACCAACAUCAACACCAACACCCACAUCUCGUGUUUCUUCAGCCCAGUCUACGACUACUUCAACAUCCGCUGAGAACAAUGAAAGGCGCAUCAUUACUGUGACUGUCUGUGUAGGUGUGCUGCUGCUGCUGGUGCCGUUUGUGCUCAUUUUGUUCAUCAUCUACAAACGACUCUCACAUUCAAAAAACACAAGAAAUGCAGCGCCAACACAGAACAUCAGAGAGGUUAGUGCAUUACUCUGUAACGCUGUGUGUUGUGGUACUGUAGAUAGAUGGUAUUCAUAUUAGAGCCCAGCCACUUUGAGACCAGGGAUAUGGUGACAGAUUUAAUGUGUUUUUGAUCUGGAAUGAAAAUAGAACUUUUUGUCUGGAUAUAAUAUGAUAUAUUGAAC